UGGCUUUUGUAGAAUGUAGGUCUUCACUGU
rnacentral:piRNA from 1 species